rnacentral:rRNA from 1 species
CUGAACCAGCCAAGUAGCGUGAAGGAUGACUGCCCUAUGGGUUGUAAACUUCUUUUAUACGGGAAUAAAGUUAGGCACGUGUGCCUUUUUGUAUGUACCGUAUGAAUAAGGAUCGGCUAACUCCGUGCCAGCAGCCGCGGUAAUACGGAGGAUCCCAGCGUUAUCCGGAUUUAUUGGGUUUAAAGGGAGCGUAGGCGGAUGCUUAAGUCAGUUGUGAAAGUUUGCGG